CUGAGUGGCUAGGGCUUAAAUGAUUGCUGCAGUGCAAUCCAGGCAAAAUUGAAGUACGCUAAUGGUACCGGUGGAAGCCUUGAUCCUAUUUGAAAAAGGAGAGCUUCACGAAGCACAUUAUGAAACUGUUUUACUUCGGAUCGUCCAAGGUGUCAUCGACAAAAAAAAAAAAA